rnacentral:miRNA from 1 species
GCAUGGUCAUGAGCAUGGUCAUGAGCAUGGUCAUGAGCAUGGUCAUGGGC